GGUCAGUGUUCAUGUUAAUGUUCCAUUAUUACAAUAAUAUUUUUGCACUUAAAGUACGUUAAGUUAAGCUUUGUGGAGUUUAACUUGUCUAAUUCCAUUUUAAAGUUGUUGUAUAAGGGAGUCACGUGACGCACUGACAGCGAUGGCCGCUUGAAAAUGGGCUCCUUCCAACGUGGCGAUAAAACGUGCUCAACACCGCAGAAGGCGAGAAAACGGAGGGAUUUCUAUCAAGAAGAAAACGACACCGCCUUACACAAGAUGCCAGUUCACAAGACAGCAGCAGGGGAAAAUACAGUUUCCAAGAACUCGGAGCGAGCUAGCGUGUGGCUAAGCUAACGAAGGAGUCGGUCGGUGAAUGUAACGAUACCGGUGCAUCAAAGCGAACAUCGUGGCUCUCUUCUGGGGACCGGGACCAAUCUCAGGAAAACGACAACUGUGUCGCCAACGGAGUAAAUACGGCAAGUUAAGCCCUCGCGGCACUGGUGAUGCCGGAACGGCUGGACGUACACUUUACACCGGGUCUGGCAAGUGAUCGCGCUCACCGGGCGACUGCCCCGCGCAGAGACGACGCACGUCACCAAGAGGUUCCUCCGCGAUCAAGACGGAGACCCCCAAACCUUCAAGAUACAAGGCUCAAAGGAAAGCUCAUCUGGAGACGCCGUCAUAUUGUGAUAUUCCCUGGUCACACCAAGGCGGCGAGUGAUAUGAGGAAAUACUACACAAACGGCGCGUCGGAUUCUCCAUUGGCUUCCCGGCCGACGGGUGAACGAGGGCGACCGCGCGAGUUCGAUGACCCGAAAAAGGCUCUGGAAUAUAUUGGAUCACCGACAUGGAAGACGCAGAGUUGAGACCAGGGUGAGAUGACUUGGCCAAAACAUGGAAUCAGAUAUCUCGGAGUCACUUUCCCGCAAAGAUCAACAGACCUAGCAAAACUCAACUUUGAACCUUUACUGACUCAGUUUGAGGCAGAAGUUGAAAGAUGGACGCCACUCUUCUUGGUCAGGUAAAUGUUAUACAAAUGAGCUGUAUUCCUAAACUGAACUAUGCAUUUCAGACCCUUCCAAUUAAAAUCCCCAAUAAGUAUUUUCAACAAUUUGAUAGAUUGUGUAAUAAGUUGUUGUGGAAUGGAAAACCGCCACGAUUAAGCCUGAGGAAAUUACAAAAACCUGUUCGCACGAGGAUUCACGUUUGAAUUCUUCUUCAUGUAUGUGGUUGAACCCAAAACUAGAAAUUGAUAAAAAUCCUUUCUUUUGAAAAGAAAGAGUGGAAUCAGGAAUAAAUACAUUGGAGGACUUGUAUGAGGGAGACACACUAAAGUCAUUUAAAUCCAGCAGCUUCACCUACCGCAACGGCAGUUCUGGAGGUAUUUACACAUUCAACAUCUUUUGUGCCAGACCUUUGGACCUGCAUCAAUAAUACCACCAAAGUCACAAUUACUUUCCAUGGUGCUAAGAGUGUUUGGCACUGGACAUGCGGCUCAAAAUAUUCCUCCCUGUUACCGGGGAAACAAACGCCUGAGGCAUGAAUCUCAUCUCUCCCCAAUUGUUGGACAUCUGAUGUCGGUACUUUGACACACAUGUUGUGUAUCUGUCCCAUUGCACAGAAAUUUUGGACAUCUGUUUAUCAAGACAUUAAAUUAGUUAUUAAAGCAGACUUUCCAUUUUGCCCCUGUCUGUUUGUAUCGGGUGAUCCACAUCCACUAGUGGCUCUCCCAACACCUAUGGUGGGGUGGGUGGAAAUGUCCUUAAUGCUGGGGAGGAAACUCAUUGUUUUUCAAGGGCAAAAAAAAAUUGACAUCAUUGAAGUUGUGGUUCUCCACACUGGCAAUUGUACCAGCGUAUGAACGUCUUUCAUUCAGACUUAUCAACCGAUGUGAACAAUACAAUGACAAAUGGAGCAAAUAUUUUUCCUUUAUUAAUAAAUCUUGCCCAAAUACUCAGGUACUAAAUUAGUCCAAUUUAUGUGAAACAUCCUCAACAUCUGGCAAUUUCUAUCGCUCUUGUUAUUCUAUACAGAUAAGUGUAUGCAUGCUUAUGUGCAUAUUUCUUUAGCUUAUUUUUUUUUCUUUUUUGUAUUAAUAUUUUCACUGAGCCAAAGUGAAUUUCACAACAUCUAUAUGUUGUUGUCAUUGCCUUUUUUUUACUUUUUUGAACUGUGUUCUCCUUUAUUUACUGUCAUCAUUGUUUCUCUGAAAAGAAUACAGAUUGCUGAUAAUAAAAAAAUGUUUAGUUGAGAAACAACAACAAACAAACAACGCAAGUUAAGUCAUUUUCAGUAUUCAACAGGAUAUUCAGAAUUGAACUGAAAUACAUCGAUUCAGAAUCAUCCGGGAAUAAAAGCAGUGCACAGUGUCAACCAUAUUGUUGUUGUUUUAGAUACAGACAAUUCACGUCUAUCGUCUCAAUCGCUCAUUGACCCAACCAGUCACAACAGUGAAGGCGCAGUGGUGUCAGAUCACAAAUCUAAAUCACUUUGAUCAGAAUGAGAGCAAACAAAAAGGCCAGUUUUUAUUUCAUUUUUGGGGCCAGAAGCAAUAUUUUACCUAAUUUCUACCAAGUCCUUUUCUUAUACUGCCUCUACUAUGAAGCUACACAUAACAAUGCAUAUAGAAACAUAGGCCUCCAGUGCCGACUAUUCAUACAAAAUCCAGUCUAAAGAUCACUUCCUGUCCACACCACGCAGGCGCAAACAGCCACAGGGUGUGUCAUGUCACCUGUUGGCCACCAGGAGGCAGUACCUGCUCGUUACACAAAGCUCGCUCCUGAGCGAUUUAUUUACCGCUUUGAUGCAGAUUUGUCCAUCAGUACUGCUUCUUCCUGCACCAAACCUAAUAGGAAUAAAAAUCAUCUGGAAAAUGUGGGUUGAUUCGUUGCUAUCAAAAGUGUUGUUGUACAAGGGCAAUCGAGGUAAUACAAAAAAUGAGUCAAUAUUUUACUUGAGUUGACCCAUAUUGACAGAUUCGUCCACUGUGCGUUAAUAAGUGUUGAAGCCAAUGAUCAAACACUGCAACAUUCAUCUCUCUGUGGCACUAACUGAGGACUACACCCUCAUUUUAGAAUUAAAACCGCGUCCUUCGCUCUUGACUAGUGAAAAUGCCGUCUUCAAGGAGGAGACGCUUCGGUCGCGAGUCCAGUUAAGGGACUGUCAAAAUGUUAUUAGGAUCGGAAUAAAACACAACAUUUUGAAACAGUAUCUCCUGAACUAGACGUCUGACGGACACCAUGUUCAUGUCGCAAAUAGUGGAAUCCUCCAUGCUGUUACUACUACUACUCUUUUCUGAAAUUUCUCUUAUAGAUAUUUUCCUCAAAUAUUUGUGUACUAUUUGAAUACAUAUCUUGUAAUACCUCCAAAAUUACAAGGCUGAUGAACAUCAUAAUUGUGUGACUUGUAAAAGACCAACGUGAUUAUACUGUGCCAAUUAGUUUCUCUUUUUUUUUUCU